rnacentral:lncRNA from 1 species
CAGAUGAGCCAGAGGCUCCCACUGGCAAAGCUGAGCCCAGCCAAGUGCUGUUCCAGAAGGGAACGUGCUGGAGAGCAGAUCAACAAAGCAGAGGCUGCUGAGAGCCCCAGGCAGCCCCAGCCCUUCCUGCUGUCCCACGCUGGCCUGCAGCAGAUGGCAUGAAGGAUAUGUGAGGAGUCAAAUGAUGCAGAAACGACUUCCCUGUGCCCUGGAAGGACUUUGGCAGCUUCACAGCCCUGCUGAGCCUCACCCUGUUCCUAAAUACGAGGGCACAAGUGACUCAGGCCUGGCCCUAAAGAAAAAGCAUCCACACGGCGUCACUGAUAAGAUUCCUGUCGAGGAAUUCCAAUGCUAUUAUGAAGAAGAAUCCCAAGUAUUCCAGGAAACAUGCUUAUGCUCUGAUGCAGUGUAAACACCAGGGGGUUGAGAGUUAUUUUUCAAGCAACUAAAAACUACCUACGGAGGAUUAAUAAGUUUUAUUCAACAUUUAUCCAUCUACUCAUUAAUUUAAAGGCUACCUUAAAGCUUAGAGGCCAUUGCUUUCCCUAAAGUUCUCUGCACACAAACUACACAGUCUAUUCCUGAUGGUACAGGGCAGCUCAGAGAUCCUCUUUCUACUACAACUUGUAUUUUGCUACUGUACUUGAUAUUUCCAUUACAAAUCAUGCACCCCAUGAGCAGUCUCCCUUCUGAGAGCUGCUCAGCCUAAUUCUCAGUGUGAGUGCAGAGCCUAAUUCUCAGUGUAAGUGAUGCUGACACGUGGGUUUCCCAAAGCCUCAGAUUAAUUGAAUUACCCUGAAAAUGUACAUGCAGCACCUCAGAGGUGGAUUUUACACCAGUGUUGGACAAGUCUGUCUGCUCAGAUCACACACACACACAGAGAGAAGGUGAUGAAAUCGAGGUGUGGCUGCCACUGUCCACCACCUGCCCAACUGCCAUCCCUAUUCCCAAUCCCCUAUCCCCAAACCUGCGCCUCGGCCACCACGAAGUUAAUUCGCUUUUCAAGCUCUGUGAACGGAAUUUUAUGAUUACAAACAGCUUAUCUGGGGACUCCAGAAUUUGAUUCCGGAGCGCUGAGGUAGUCGAUG